GCCCGGCUGGCUCAAUGGUAGAGCAUCAGACUUCUACUCUGUCCUGCUUAUGAGGUCUAUCUGAAGGUUGUGGGUUCGAGUCCCACGUCGGGUG